UACCAUGGCGAUCACGGGUAACGGGGAAUUAGGGUUCGAUUCCGGAGAGGGAGCCUGAGAAAUGGCUACCACAUCUAAGGAAGGCAGCAGGCGCGUAAAUUACCCAAUCCUAAUUCAGGGAGGUAGUGACAAGAAAUAACAACUCGGACCUCACACGAGGUUACGAGAUUGCAAUGAGAACAAUUUAAACCUCUUAUCGAGUAACAAUUGGAGGGCAAGUCUGGUGCCAGCAGCCGCGGUAAUUCCAGCUCCAAUAGCGUAUAUUAAAGUUGUUGCAGUUAAAAAGCUCGUAGUUGGAUUUCUGGGAGGUUGCCAAUGUCCGAUGUUUUCGUGUGCAGCGGUGACCUCCCAUCCUUCAGUUAACACUUCUUGGGAUUUAUUUCCUGGUGGUGGGCUCUGAUAUUUUACCUUGAGAAAAUUAGAGUGUUUCAGGCAGGCUUGCGCCGGAAUACAUUAGCAUGGAAUAAUAGAAUAGGACUUUGGUCUCCUUCGUUGGUUUGAGGGGCUGAAGUAAUGAUUAAUAGGGAUAGUUGGGGGCAUUAGUAUUUAAUUGUCAGAGGUGAAAUUCUCGGAUUUGUUAAAGACUAACUUAU
rnacentral:rRNA from 1 species